rnacentral:rRNA from 1 species
GGUGAAAAGCACCCCGGAAGGGGAGUGAAAUAGAACCUGAAACCGUGUGCUUACAAGUAGUCAGAGCCCGUUAAUGGGUGAUGGCGUGCCUUUUGUAGAAUGAACCGGCGAGUUACGAUUUGAUGCAAGGUUAAGCAGUAAAUGUGGAGCCGUAGCGAAAGCGAGUCUGAAUAGGGCGUUUAGUAUUUGGUCGUAGACCCGAAACCAGGUGAUCUACCCUUGGUCAGGUUGAAGUUCAGGUAACACUGAAUGGAGGACCGAACCGACUUACGUUGAAAAGUGAGCGGAUGAACUGAGGGUAGCGGAGAAAUUCCAAUCGAACCUGGAGAUAGCUGGUUCUCUCCGAAAUAGCUUUAGGGCUAGCCUCAAGUGAUGAUUAUUGGAGGUAGAGCACUGUUUGGACGAGGGGCCCCUCUCGGGUUACCGAAUUCAGACAAACUCCGAAUGCCAAUUAAUUUAACUUGGGAGUCAGAACAUGGGUGAUAAGGUCCGUGUUCGAAAGGGAAACAGCCCAGACCACCAGCUAAGGUCCCAAAAUAUAUGUUAAGUGGAAAAGGAUGUGGCGUUGCCCAGACAACUAGGAUGUUGGCUUAGAAGCAGCCAUCAUUUAAAGAGUGCGUAAUAGCUCACUAGUCGAGUGACACUGCGCCGAAAAUGUACCGGGGCUAAACAUAUUACCGAAGCUGUGGAUUGUCCUUUGGACAAUGGUAGGAGAGCGUUCUAAGGGCGUUGAAGCAUGAUCGUAAGGACAUGUGGAGCGCUUAGAAGUGAGAAUGCCGGUGUGAGUAGCGAAAGACGGGUGAGAAUCCCGUCCACCGAUUGACUAAGGUUUCCAGAGGAAGGCUCGUCCGCUCUGGGUUAGUCGGGUCCUAAGCUGAGGCCGACAGGCGUAGGCGAUGGAUAA